ACGACUGUGAUGAAACGGUAGACAUAGCACCCUUAAGCCGUGCCAGCCCUCGCUGUAUGGGUUCGAAUCCCAUCUGUCGUA
rnacentral:tRNA from 1 species